rnacentral:rRNA from 1 species
GGCUAACGCAGGGAACUGAAACAUCUAAGUACCUGCAGGAAAAGAAAUCAACCGAGAUUCCCUUAGUAGUGGCGAGCGAACGGGGACUAGCCCUUAAGUGGCUUUGAGAUUAGCGGAACGCUCUGGAAAGUGCGGCCAUAGUGGGUGAUAGCCCCGUACACGAAAAUCUCUUGCCAGUGAAAUCGAGUAGGACGGAGCACGAGAAACUUUGUCUGAAUAUGGGGGGACCAUCCUCCAAGGCUAAAUACUACUGACUGACCGAUAGUGAACUAGUACCGUGAGGGAAAGGCGAAAAGAACCCCGGCGAGGGGAGUGAAACAGAACCUGAAACCGUGUACGUACAAGCAGUGGGAGC